GAAUGACAAUGGGACUUAGGAGGGCCUAACCGGGAUCCCUGCGGCAAAGGAGAACCGUGGCUUCCAGAGUUCCAGCUCCUGCAUCAGAAAACAGAGGGAAACCGAGAGAUGACGUUUUGCGAGUCAGCACCCUUUACCCUUUUGGCUAUUAACAACCUAUCUACACCUGUCUCCGCAUAAUUAAAUUUCCAUGCAACCAUAAAACAGCUUUCUGCUUCCACUGAAAAAGUUUCUGCUAUUGGAUUUCAGCCCCGGAUCAAUCAAAAAC